AAAAAAGACUUAUUUUUUAUUGAAAUCUUUGAAAUUUUAAUUUUACUUGAUUGUGAUUCAAGAAGUGUGAAAGACUAAAAUUUUAUUUAUGUGUAAAAAAAUAUGAUUAGUGAUUUUUUGGGGAACGUAAACAAUGGGGAUACCAAAUAAAUCUACUUAAUUGCCUCUUGCUUUUCCUAUUCUAUGGGACAAAAGAGUACUAAAGAGACAAAAAGUCUCUUCUUUAUUUCUUUUGCAAUGAAAUACAAGUUUAUUUUUUAUAACCAUUUUGCAAAAAGGAAAAAAGUGAAAAGGGAGGGCAAAUCACUAUCAAGGUAAUUUUUAUUUGUUUUUAUUUUUUUCUUUUUCAAUUUUUAUUAGCAUGCAAAGUUUUUCAAGAUUGUUAAAAAAUUUAUGAUUGUACUUCAAUACUAUGGAAGAUUCAUUA
rnacentral:misc_RNA from 1 species